rnacentral:rRNA from 1 species
CACAAGCGGCGGAGCAUGCGGAUUAAUUCGAUGCAACGCGAAGAACCUUACCAAGGCUUGACAUACACCGGUAACGCCCAGAGAUGGGUGCCCCUUUGUGGUCGGUGGACAGGUGGUGCAUGGUUGUCGUCAGCUCGUGUCGUGAGAUGUUGGGUUAAGUCCCGCAACGAGCGCAACCCUCGUCCUAUGUUGCCAGCGGGUCAUGCCGGGGACUCAUGGGAGACUGCCGGGGUCAACUCGGAGGAAGGUGGGGAUGACGUCAAAUCAUCAUGCCCCUUAUGUCUUGGGCUUCACGCAUGCUACAAUGGCCGGUACAAAGGGCUGCGAUACCGCGAGGUGGAGCGAAUCCCAGAAAGCCGGUCUCAGUUCGGAUUGGGGUCUGCAACUCGACCCCAUGAAGUCGGAGUCGCUAGUAAUCGCAGAUCAGCAACGCUGCGGUGAAUACGUUCCCGGGCCUU